UACUUUCAAAGGGCACUAGCAGCCCRCUAAUUUUAGGAAUUACUCAAUCCU
rnacentral:tRNA from 1 species